GCUAAAUACAUUACUUGACUGGUAGUAAAUGUUUGACACUGCUAGUACUCGAAAAGCUAUGAACGAAGCGCAAGUUCUUUAGGCCCAGUAGGUAUCGGUAGCUAGUUUAUUGCUAGGUAGAGUUCAUACCUUAUAGGCGCUAGCUUGCUAGUGAUCUGAACCAAGGUCUCAAAUCAGGUAGGAAGACCCGCUGAACUUAA
rnacentral:misc_RNA from 1 species